ensembl:lncRNA
CAUGCUUUCACCAUGCGCGUUCACAGGGAAAGACCUGUGUUCCACUGGUUAUCUGAAGUCAUUCUAAUACUCCGGUUGGAACGUUAUUCAAGAUAUAUGUAAAUAACAUUCUAAAGAUUGAUUCAGUACAUCGUUUGACAUGUUUCUACUGACUGUUACGGAACUUUUGGACAUUUCGUCACGUUAUAGUGGACGUGCUUUGUGACUUUGGAAUUGUUUACCAAAUGCGCUAACCAAAGUAGCUAAUUGGACAUAAAUAGCGGACAUUUUCGAACAAAUCAAGCAUUUAUUGUGCACCUGGGAUUCCUAGGACUGCAUUCUGAUGAAGUUCAUCAAAGAAUUGACAGAAUGGUUGUGGCCGGGACGUGUGCUGAUCGACCAGCAGGAGUGGACAGUGGUGGAAAUGGUGAGGGCCAGGAAUAACAUACGGCUGUCCAUAAUGAAGCAGGGCAUUGAGGAGAACGAUGACACCUUUGCCAGUGUGGCAUUCAACAGCCUACCAACAAUCGCCCACCUUUUGAAGAGGCACCAGAGGGUGAUGGUGCAUGAUGCUGCUGUGCACCAACAAGAGUAUCUUUGUUGAUGAAGCGGGCUUCAACCUGGCCAAAACUCGGCGCCGUGGGCGGAACCUCAUCGGUCAACGGUUGACCGUCCAAGUGCCUGGACAACGU